GUCAGCACAAACCGGAACCUCAACAACGCGUUCGAGCGAGGGGUGUUGAUGUCGGGGGAAACCCUCCUGUAAAAGAGCGGGAUAGAGCGAAAGACAAAGACCGGAAAUAACUAAAGCGCCCUUGUGGCGCUUUAGUUUU
rfam:Escherichia vulneris NBRC 102420 DNA, contig: EV10242003.